UUAAUUUUGUCUCGUGAGGCCUCUUGCCUCAAUUUUGAGUGAAAUGGUCUCAGGAUUCUCAGAUGGCCUCAAGUUCUAUUGGCUCAUCCUCCCCCUUAUCACUAUACCCUGAGGUCAUUACUCCCUCUCCAAGGGCCACUAAAAGGAAGUAGGUAGCACCUAGUCAUUACCCUCUCUCCAGAAGACAUUUCCAAUGGAGUGUGCAGUACUAGGCUAUUACCUCUCUCCCAAUGGUGUCCCGAUGGAGCGUGCAGCACCUCUAGUUAAUAUGGCCAGUCUAGCUCGAAGGCUCAUGCUUUUGUCUUCUUUGCCUCACAAUGUGUUAUUACUCCUCGUAGCUUCAUAAUUGGGAGGUCACUACCUCCCCCUUU
rnacentral:lncRNA from 1 species